rnacentral:rRNA from 1 species
UACGUAGGGGGCGAGCGUUGUCCGGAAUUACUGGGCGUAAAGGGUGCGUAGGCGGCCUUGUAAGUCAGAUGUUAAAGCCCUCGGCUUAACCGAGGUAAGCAUUUGAAACUGCAGGGCUUGAGUACAGGAGAGGAGAGUGGAAUUCCUAGUGUAGCGGUGAAAUGCGUAGAUAUUAGGAAGAACACCAGUGGCGAAGGCGACUCUCUGGACUGUAACUGACGCUGAGGCACGAAAGCGUGGGGAGCGAACAGGAUUAGAUACCCUGGUAGUCCACGCUGUAAACGAUGAGUGCUAGGUGUUGGGGGAGACAUCCUUCAGUGCCGCAGUUAACACAAUAAGCACUCCGCCUGGGGAGUACGGUCGCAAGACUGAA